GGGCGUCUAAAGCCAUCGCUGUAAGCAUAACAAAAGUGACCGUCAUUUUAUCCGGUCCUUAAAGUGGAAUCAGUGUGACAUUUUUAAGACCGUUUAUUCUUCCCUUCCCAAAAUAAGAUAAAUUCCCUUCGUAAUUUUUAUGUAAAACUAGCAGUCCAUUAUUUUCUCUCAUUUCGUUCGAUCAGCUCUCUUCCAAUAUUGUUAAAGUUAGGGUUUUAUCAUUUUCUAGGAAUCUCUGUUUCUUUACAACCUGUACAAUUCAGUUUAGCUCACAUAAAAUCUCACACUACUUUCCUGCUUUCCACCGCCGCCUCCACUACUUCCGCCGCCAUUCGCCUCCGCCUCCACCACCACAAGCUCUCCUCGUCAACUCUCUAGCUUCAGCAGCUCUCCCGUGUCAGUUUCGUCGCUGUUCCGUCGCAUUCCCUCGUGUUCACGACAAUUCUCAUCUCAUUAACCGAAUCUCUGCUAUGAUCGAUCGCUUGCGAGAAUUUUCAGGAGAUGAAGUAUUAAGAACAGACAUUCAGUUUUACUAAUGUUAUGCUGCCUAUGUUUUACCACCGGAAAGCUCGCUGUGUAUGUUGCUGCUGCUGGUAUCAAUCCGCAGAGAAUUUAGGACUUUGACAGCCUAGGCUGGAAGGAGAAAAGUACUUAUCAAUUGUUGAUAAGUUCAUGUAAGUUGUAUUCACACCUUGGUCCAAUGUCAUUGUACAGGUCUGUUUCUUUCUGAAAAAGGCGCUAGAGGAGGUCUUUGUGUGUUGUAACUCUUUUUUUGAUAUAUUACCAGUUUGAGGAUUUUCCAAUGAAGUGGGCAUUUGAAACACUGCAAAGAUAUAACAAAACGUUUUGCAUGUUUAACGAUGAUGUACAAGUUAGUAAAGUUGUGGUAUAUUGCUAGUUUAUUUGUAUUCUAAAUCUGUUGGCAAGAAACUUUCAUGAGCAUUGUUGCAAUGAUGGCAGUUAGCUCAAGGACGACCAUUGCACUUGCCAGAUUUCUGGGAGCUAUGAGAGCUCAAGGACGACCAUUGUCUGACUUCCUGAAACAAAAAUAUGUUGUAGUGGCUCUGGGAGAUUAUUAUUGAUAAAACUGCUCAAGGACUUAGAAAUGAUUCCAGCAAAACCGAUUGUAAUAUUGAUAAUCAUCAAUCCAUGACCAGGUAAGUAUCUUUUAUGACCCUUUAUGUAUGGGGCAAUUAUGAUUUAUGUUUUUGUUAACUAUUGUUUUUUGUGCCCAACCUUGGAACUUAAUGGACCUUUAGUAGCUGUGUCAAGCUAAAAUCAAUUAUUUUCUUGCAUUGGACAAGCAUGUUGGAUAUAAUUGAGUUUUCAUGGAAUCAGUACUGUAUAGUACAGUAUGCGAGGCUUGAUGGCCGAUGAGUUUAGCUGCAAGAGACGGGACAUUGAAAGGGUCCAACACUAAUCCCCAGCUUGCUUGUGGGCUUAUAAAGAUUCCAAAGGGAGAGAUUGAUGAUAUUGAUGCGUGCAGCUGAUGCUAAUAAUAAUUUGAAUGGUGUUAAGUAAGGAGAAGGCAUUUACAAAUUCUAUGAGGGAGUAGUAAAUGUUAUUUCAAGUUAUGAUCCUUCUUGAGGAAGAAGGAGCUGAAGUAGUUAGUGCCAGUUCUAAAAAAUCUUUGGAUAUUGAUCAUCACUAGUAUAAAUUUAGUGAAGUUAUCAAUUUAGUUUUUUCUGUCAGGUAUAUAGGGGUUUCAAGAAGCAAAUAUGUGAUAUUUUAAUUUGUUGUUAGCAACCAUUAUAGAUAUUAAGUUUCUGUUUCAA